rnacentral:rRNA from 1 species
AACAGGAUUAGAUACCCUGGUAGUCCACGCCGUAAACGAUGUCGACUUGGAGGUUGUGCCCUUGAGGCGUGGCUUCCGGAGCUAACGCGUUAAGUCGACCGCCUGGGGAGUACGGCCGCAAGGUUAAAACUCAAAUGAAUUGACGGGGGCCCGCACAAGCGGCGGAGCAUGUGGUUUAAUUCGAUGCAACGCGAAGAACCUUACCUACUCUUGACAUCCAGAGAACUUAGCAGAGAUGCUUUGGUGCCUUCGGGAACUCUGAGACAGGUGCUGCAUGGCUGUCGUCAGCUCGUGUUGUGAAAUGUUGGGUUAAGUCCCGCAACGAGCGCAACCCUUAUCCUUUGUUGCCAGCGGUUAGGCCGGGAACUCAAAGGAGACUGCCAGUGAUAAACUGGAGGAAGGUGGGGAUGACGUCAAGUCAUCAUGGCCCUUACGAGUAGGGCUACACACGUGCUACAAUGGCGCAUACAAAGAGAAGCGACCUCGCGAGAGCAAGCGGACCUCAUAAAGUGCGUCGUAGUCCGGAUUGGAGUCUGCAACUCGACUCCAUGAAGUCGGAAUCGCUAGUAAUCGUGGAUCAGAAUGCCACGGUGAAUACGUUCCCGGGCCUUGUACACACCGCCCGUCACACCAUGGGAGUGGGUUGCAAAAGAAGUAGGUAGCUUAACCUUCGGGAGGGCGCUUACCACUUUGUGAUUCAUGACUGGGGUGAAGUCGUAACAAGGUAACC